rnacentral:rRNA from 1 species
GAUUUCUGGUAUUGCGCGUUUGGCCCACAGCUACGGCUGGCGCGUGCCGUUACUCGCUUACCAUCCUUCUGGGGAGGGUCUCGCAUCACUUUAAUGUGUUCGAGUUCUGUAACCAGAUCUUUUACUUUGAAAAAAUUAGAGUGUUUCAAGCAGGCUUUAUGCUAUGAAUACAUUAGCAUGGAAUAAUAAUUUAGGACUUCGGUUCUAUUUUGUUGGUUUCUAGGACUGAAGUAAUGAUUGAUAGGGAUAGUUGGGGGUGCUAGUAUUCAGCGGCCAGAGGUGAAAUUCUCGGAUUCGCUGAAGACUAACUUAUGCGAAAGCAUU